GAUGAACGCUGGCGGCGUGCUUAACACAUGCAAGUCGAGCGAAGCAUUUUAAAGGAAGUUUUCGGAUGGAAUUUAAAACGACUUAGCGGCGGACGGGUGAGUAACGCGUGGGUAACCUGCCUCAUACAGGGGGAUAACAGUUAGAAAUGACUGCUAAUACCGCAUAAGCGCACAGUGCUGCAUAGCACAGUGUGAAAAACUCCGGUGGUAUGAGAUGGACCCGCGUCUGAUUAGGUAGUUGGUGAGGUAACGGCCCACCAAGCCGACGAUCAGUAGCCGACCUGAGAGGGUGACCGGCCACAUUGGGACUGAGACACGGCACAAACUCCUACGGGAGGCAGCAGUGGGGAAUAUUGGACAAUGGGGGAAACCCUGAUCCAGCGACGCCGCGUGAGUGAAGAAGUAUUUCGGUAUGUAAAGCUCUAUCAGCAGGGGAGAAAAUGACGGUACCUGACUAAGAAGCCCCGGCUAACUACGUGCCAGCCGCCGCCGUAA
rnacentral:rRNA from 1 species